rfam:Trichomalopsis sarcophagae strain Alberta scaffold8485, whole genome shotgun sequence.
UUACUCUGGUUUCCCUUCAUUACACGUAUAAAUCUUUCGCCUUUUACUAAAGAUUUCCGUGGAGGGGAACACUUGAUGAGUCUAACGACUAAUUUUUUGUGUGCCUGACGAAAGUUGGGCC